UACGUAGGGGGCAAGCGUUGUCCGGAAUCAUUGGGCGUAAAGAGCGUGUAGGCGGCCAGAUAGGUCGGUUGUGAAAACUGGAGGCUCAACCUCCAGACGUCGACCGAAACCCUCUGGCUAGAGUCCGGAAGAGGAGAAUGGAAUUCCUGGUGUAGCGGUGAAAUGCGCAGAUAUCAGGAAGAACACCCGUGGCGAAGGCGGUUCUCUGGGACGGUACUGACGCUGAGACGCGAAAGCGUGGGGAGCGAACAGG
rnacentral:rRNA from 1 species